AGCUGCAAAGCCGCCUAGAAGUCCGUUGCAUACGUCAAUAACGUUCCAAUGACCUGCUAAAAGCCGUUUACUGAAUAGAGUAGUCAACGCAGCGGUGCAGCCAG
rnacentral:sRNA from 1 species